CUGGACCAUUCAUUAUAAAUACCAAAAUUGGAUUGAUACAGAGAAUAUUAGCAUAUCCCCUAUGCAAAUAUGACAUGCAAAGUUCUGAAUCAUUCCUUUUUUUU